UGCUUAUGUUGAACCUUCCACUCACAGUUUAUCAAAUACUGGAGAACAGUUGUCAAUAGUCGAAAAUGAUCGUCGCAACACGAGUGGUUUGGAGCCAAAUAAUAAUUACCAGAACAGUUCUAGCUUCUUGUCUUCUGCUUUAGUUUCUGAAUUGAGUCAAUAUAAUCAUGGAAAGCCACAUAAAAGAGACCUUAUAUCGUCGUCUCUAGAGAUAAAUCUGAUGGAUGAUUUUCUUGAGAUGGAGAAGCUUGCAGCACGUCCUGACAUCGUGUAUGAAAGAAGCAAUGGCAGAGGAGAACCCACUUUAAGAACUGAACUUGGAGCCGCGAUUAGGCAGGCAGCUGAAGUGGAGAAGUUGGCAAAGAUGGAGGUGGAGAAAUUGAAACUAGAGAUGGAAUUAACUCAGUGUCAGGGAGAGCUUACGAUAUGUAAAGAACAAUUAGAAGAAACUAUGAACAAUUUAAUUGAAGUAAGAACUCAGUUAUCUAUGGAAAAUGAUGCCAGGAGAAAACUGGAGGCUGAAUUCAAGGCUACUAUAACCAAGCUUAAAGACUUAACAGAACAUGCACAGAAAAUGGAGGCUGAGAUUAUCGAGCUCGAAACAAAGUUAUCUAUGGCCAAUGUAGAAAAGAGUAAGACCGAGGCAGAAGUCAAGUCUACCAAUACUAUGCUUAAGAAUUUAGUUGAACGCUUAGAAGAAACACAGAUUGAUGUUGUGGAGCUCCAAGGUCAGCUCAUUACUGCUAAUGAAGCAAAAAGAGCUGCUGAGGCUGAAGUUCAGGCUAUGAAUGUGAAGCUUAAGAAAUUAGAAUUUUGCUUGGAUGAAACUGAAGUGAAGUGUUUAGGGAUUCAAACCCAACUAGAAAUGGUGGAAGGAAUGAAAUCUGGCGUUGAGGCUGAGCUUGAAGCUAUCAAUGCAAAGAAAUAUGUGUCAGAGUCACAACUUAAAGCGACUGAAUUGGAGCUUCAAACAUUGCUUUCUAAAGUUGAUUUUCUUCAAGAGGAGCUUUCCGAGGAAAGGGAUUUGCACCAAAAAACUGCUGCAAAGUUACAGAAACUAGAAAUUGAUAAUUCAGUGAUAAAAUCUGCAUCCCAGCUUCAGAAAGGAACUAUAUUCGGGGAAUUUACAAUCAAUAAGGAUAAAGAAAUGGCAAUAGCAGCUAGUCGAUUUGCAGAGUGCCAAAAAACAAUUGCUUCCAUUAAUUGGCAAUUGAAGUCCCUUGCUAUCAUGGAUGAUUUGUUGAUCGAGUAGAUGAGCUAUUACAGAUAUAAUGACAUGACAUCCUCUUCAGAACUUGCUCUUUUCUGAAGGGAGGAUGAUUGUCAAAGAUAGGGUAUUAUGCUGUUGAAUUUAAGAUGGAAGAAUUGAAUAGCAGAAGAAGAAGUUGCAAAGCUGGAAUAGCAAAAUCUUUGGUGCCAUGUGGUAAGUGCUUAGACAUGAACUUAUUAGGUAGAACAAAAAAUAUAUAUAUAGUCAUGUGCUGUACUAGUGAGUGUUAUGUGCAUAUUUGAAGUACAAAGGUUCCAAAUUCAUUGUACACAAGUUCACGAGAAAAAGUAUGUGGCUAUGUAUCAUAAAAUUAAAA
rnacentral:misc_RNA from 1 species